UACGUAGGGGGCAAGCGUUGUCCGGAUUUAUUGGGCGUAAAGAGCGUGUAGGCGGCCAGACAGGUCAGCUGUGAAAACUCGAGGCUCAACCUCGAGACGUCGGUUGAAACCGUCUGGCUAGAGUCCGGAAGAGGAGAGUGGAAUUCCUGGUGUAGCGGUGAAAUGCGCAGAUAUCAGGAGGAACACCGGUGGCGAAGGCGGAUCUCUGGGCCUGUUCUGACGCUGAGGCGCGAAAGCUAGGGGGGAGCGAACAGG
rnacentral:rRNA from 1 species